GAAAAACUUGUAUAUUGUUGCUUAAAAGCCAUUUCUGGAGUUUCUGCAACAGCUCAAAACUGGAAUUUUUGGAUCAUAAAUAUUCAAUUUUGCCUCGUUUACUAAUUGUUUCAAUUUAAACAAGAGGAUUCAUCGAAUCAUCCUCAUCUUUGAACGUAUACGAGGAAUUGAACCAUCAUACUAGAACUACAAACGCUUUUGCUGCUCAUGACCUCAUUAUUCUUUAUUGCAGAGCCAGCUAACCACGUGGCUACAGAGAGUCAGAGACUCAACAGUUGGUUCCCAUAAAUUGCAUCCAUAGAUAAAGGAUGCAGCAACAGUCAACUGGCCCCUCCAAAACAGUAAGCCAAGUAGUGGUGAGUGACGAGAAAUGCGACAACAAAACGCCAAUGCGAGAUAUAGACAGGACAGGACCAUUGCGGUUCCCAGGUAAUUUAAUGAGACGCGUCGUCUUGUGCCCCAAAGAAAAGUCAAAUAACAAACCCAUCUUUCUUUAGUUUUUUGCUCCUCCAUGGAAUUACCUGCUUCAAACCCUCAUAAAUAGUCCCCUGCAAAAUUUCAACACAAUCGUUUUCUUCAGUGUUGAUGAGCAAAUGGGCUAAGAUUGAAUAGAUUUUUAACAGCUUAAUCAAACUUUCUCUGUCAGCAAUAGCAUAAUCAUUUUGUUUUUUUGCAUCUGCUGCAAGGUAACUACUCGGUUUUUAAUUUGUUGCCCAACAAUGCAAAUUAUCAGCACUAACCAAGGGUUUCUGUCAAGGAAUUUAAGUCUCUUAAAUUAUUCGUAAUUCGAUUGCAUUUGCAUUACAAACAUUUUAAUUAAUUAAUUAACUAAUUUGAUGAAAUAAUAUAAACGAUGAUCACCUUCUUGAGCAACUCUUUUUUUUCCCCAUUUCAGUGAAUAGAUUACGUGCCGGUUACUAGCUUAACAAGGUCGACAGAAAAAGAAUACACACUCCGAUAGGAAAAAUACCUUGCAUCCCUCAAGAUUCAAGACUAUCUACACGUUAUAUAAAUAAGUAAUAAAGACUAGAGAACUAACCCAGAAACGAGACCUGGUACGCGUGGAACAGCUGCCUGAUCUUCUGAUCCUUGUGAUCUUGGCAUUCUUGUUACUUCCCUCGUCCUCUUUGUUGCUAUCUUCGACAUCUCUGUCCAUGAACGACGGAAAGACAUAGCUAGCCCCACCAACCUCUCUUUUACCCGUGAAGGCCCUCCUUCCCCAACGCCAGGAACCUAAAAGUCCUCUGUCUUUCAGCCGUCUCUUGCUAAGAACCAUGGUACUAAGCUGACCUCUCUCAGGACUACAACUCCUACGAAAGGACCCAUAACACUCCCUUCUGAUCAUUCUAAACGAAGAAGACUGAAAUCUUUGUUUGCCCAUAUAAGGUCCCUUCAUGACCGUAGUCGGCGAGAGCAGCUUGUUAACAUUGGCAUCCAAGAGCAACCUUGGAGGUAGCUCUAGGCACUUGGGGCUAAAGUCAAUGGGGUUGGAGAGAGGAGUGCAGCCGCUGGGCUUUCCAGGCUCUUCCUCCCAGCGAAAUGGGACAGAAGCUGAGGCAUAGAGUGGCGGGGUUAGCAUCCCUGAUCUCUGUGGUGACUGCACAUAUGCAUGUGCAUGUGGGCUCAAGAAUAAUGGUAAUCUUGGUGUGGAGCUAAGCUCUGGUUCUGUCUCAGAUCCCAUUGCUCUUUGUCAAAUCUCUGUGUCUCUCUCUUUCUUCUCUCUCUCUCUCUCAAUGCUCUAUAUGACUCUUAUCUACUGGGGUCUCGGCUUGUCCUGUAUGGCGUAAUUGUGUGCUUCUUAGGUAGUGUGACUUUGUUCCAGGAAGACAACGGGGAAGAUGGGAACGUUUUUCAAGAGGAAAAU
rnacentral:misc_RNA from 1 species